GGGACAUGUAGUUGGAACCCGCCUUUGUCCUGGGUUAGGACCCCUUCCUUUUUAAAAUGGCUGGAUCCGCCCCUGCUAGCCAAGGGUUACGAUCCAGAGGAGGGAAGUGGACCGUAACCAUUGGCUAGCUAAGAUGGAUGUUCACUGGCUGCCUAACAUGGGGCUGCUCCAGUCAUGCUUCGGUGAUUCCCUCUAUAAUGAACCAAAUGUUUGCCACAAAAAGGGGGGGUGGGCUCUCCCUCUAUACCGCCUCUGAGAGCACGCGAAUUAAUAUGGAUCAGAAUUUAAAUCAUAUUGGAAUGGGAAAUACGUGUUUUUGUUGAUUGUCACAUACAUGUAAGCAUUUGCGUAACAAUCUUAAUGAGCUUUGCUCAUUGUUGAAGGCCAUACGGUGACCUAUAGUUGUUAAUUCCUACAUGCCAGUUUGGUCAUUUGUGGAUAAUUGUCUCAUUGGCAAUUAUACUACAUCUUCUUUUUAUAUUUAAUGCUGUAGCCAAUGGAAAAUGAUUUUAUGUUUCAUGCAGCACCUAGCUAAAUAUACUGACCCUUCUGUGUCCAUCCUUGUGUUUUUGUGUUACUUUAAUUAAACUGUAGUGUUUUUUGGAAUGUUGUUUGUCUGGCGUUUUUUUCGUCAUCUUUAUGAAAUUGUUUUUUUCUUUUCGAUUUGUUGCAUUUGCUUGCUGCCUUGAUAUCUUCGUUUUAUUCUUUAUAAAAUAUUGUUAGUAAAAUUAUCUUCUUUAUAUUGUAUACUUAACAUAAAUCUAAAUUUAAUUUCAUUCUAUGUUGUUUAUUUUUAGCUAUAGUAUGAAUACCUUUGUCGUUAUUUACGUUUUUGCAGUGAAGGUUUCAUUUGUUGAAUUACAUGAAUUUUAAAGGGUCGAAGUCCUGAAGAUGAAAAAAGUAUUGGAUCUCUGUUAAGUCAUCUGGCUUUAUAAACGAUUUAAUAAAUUAACUAAUGUCAUCAACCUAGCAAUUACUGUGUAUGUAUAUUCAUAAUAGUGACUAAAUGGACAAUUUACUCCCACAUCUACGUAAAUAAACAAACUAUGGUCCGAAUAGUUUAGGGUCGAAAAAUCUACAAAGAAUUAUCGAAAUCCACUUACACAUAAUAGAUCAUAAUAAGUGUCAGCAAUUAGUUGUUCCUUCCGUUUAUUUUGCGUCGUAUUAUGUAUGUAUUAUUUAUGGUAAAUUGUGUUGUAAGACAAAUCAAAAUCGUUUAAUUUAUGGUUUCACGAAAAAUAUUAGUGGACACUUCCGUAGAUCGAACUAAUGAUCCAUCUGACAAGAAAAUACAUUGAUGUUAAGGAUGGUUGUGUUUUUGCAAGCGAUAUAACUGCAUGCGAAGCUAUUUUAAAG
rnacentral:lncRNA from 1 species